rnacentral:misc_RNA from 1 species
UAAAGUGUUCGAUUUUAAGUUUGCCAAGCAACAAAUCGGCAAUCCUAUAUUAUCAUAGAUUGGAAAUAAAAGUGUAGAACACUUCACAAAACGACCUCUUUAUUGUGUGAAAUCAAAUAAGGAAAAAUGUGUUUAGCAGUAUCAGGACUGCAGUCAAUCAGAGUGGAAUGAAUGUACAGUGCAUACUGUUAUGAACCUUUUUAUUCGUUUAUACCUCUGGUAAAUAGUGCUCGUCAAAAUAAAAUGCCGUUAUCACGACAAAGUGGCCGAGAGCGGAGUAGUCACUCUCCGGGAAGCAGUAUCUACCGGCGGCAAGGAGGGAGGCGAGAUUCAGGUCUGCGUCCUGCCAGCUCCUUUAAACGUCAACAUAGCAUCCGAAUUACUCCACCACCAGAUGCCAUUGACGAUGAACCGGAACCUACAGCACCACCCGUGGAACUCAUGGACAAAGUUGAUGGAUAUGAAUACGUGUCGUUUGACGUGGUCGAAGUUCCACCACCAACGAUGACCUUUCCCAAAAAGGAAGAGGAAGAACCUGAGCGGGCCUCACCCCCCAGUGGUCCCCAGUUGACUGAACAAGAAGCUCGGCAAGCUCUACUGAAGUACGUGUCAACACGUUGCUGCUACGGAAAGAGUGCUGCAAGAGAUAUGGCUAUUACAAAAAUUGAUCACUCCUGUGCUUUCCAUUAUACCCUGGAAACGUUUUCUGAAAAGAGACAAACAGCUUGGGCAUUUGAACCUUAUGCAGGAGGGACAAUAGACAGCUCUUCUACUGACACUCCUCCUGGUCCUUGGGAUAUUUCUGCUGCUCCUUCCUCACCCUUCACAAACUCCAACACUCAGCUAGAGGUUCCACACACAGCUUCAAUCAAAACAUGCCACACCUGUGGAGGGGUUGGACGUAAGCGCUGCUACACAUGUUCAGGAAAUGGUUACGAACAGUGUUAUUCAUGCCAUGGUGAUGGCUAUAAAAACACCCUGAGUGGAGCACAUGAGAGAUGCUUUAGAUGUCAUGGAAUAGGACGCAGAAGGUGCUGGAAGUGCAAUGGUGAUGGCCUAGCCUUGUGUAAGGGGUGUGCUGGUACAGGUCAGAUCAAGUGUUAUAUCAGACUUACUGUUACAUGGAUGAACCAUAUUGAUGAACAUGUAGUUGAACACUCUGCUGUUCCUGAUGAGAAAAUCAAAAGUGGCUCAGGACAAGUGGUCUUUGAAGAAGAGGAUGAGAAUGUGGCUUUGGCCAAUAAAUCACUUUCCAAAUACUGCCAUUAAUAUGGCAUCUGUGCAGCUAAUUCAGCAACAUGCAACAGCAUUUCCUGCAGAAAAGGUUCUUCGACAGCGCCAGCGGGUACGCAUCAUUCCUGUCACUACAGUUCAUUACCAGUGGAAAAAUCAUAACAACACCUUUAGUGUGUUUGGCUUUGAGAAAAAGGUCUAUGCUCCCAAGUACCCUCAGACUUGCUGCUGUGGAUGUA